rnacentral:rRNA from 1 species
UACGUAGGGUGCAAGCGUUGUCCGGAAUUAUUGGGCGUAAAGAGCUCGUAGGCGGUUUGUCGCGUCGAAUGUGAAAACCCGGGGCUCAACCCCGGGCCUGCAUUCGAUACGGGCAGACUAGAGUUCGGUAGGGGAGAUUGGAAUUCCUGGUGUAGCGGUGGAAUGCGCAGAUAUCAGGAGGAACACCGAUGGCGAAGGCAGAUCUCUGGGCCGUAACUGACGCUGAGGAGCGAAAGCAUGGGGAGCGAACAGG